rnacentral:misc_RNA from 1 species
AUGGUAUAUGUUGUGUUCUCUCUCCCAUCUUUCUUAAUUACUCAAAUGGUGGUUUAAUAUUAUAACUUUCUCCCUUACUGUUGGUGUUAAUGAAUUGUUUAAAUGUAGUCUUGUUUGGCUGGGAAAAUAGUCUAGAUUUAAACCCCAAAAUUAGUUGCUUUCUGUAAUACUGGCAGGAGUAAAGAGAAGGAUGGGAGAGAGAACACAACAUAUACCAU